rnacentral:rRNA from 1 species
UAAUGGUCAAUGGCCGGAAGGCUGAACCAGCCAAGCCGCGUGAGGGAAGACGGCCCUACGGGUUGUAAACCUCUUUAGCCGGGGAACAAGGCGCGGGACGAGUCCCGCCGUGAGCGUACCCGGCGAAUAAGCAUCGGCCAACUCCGUCCCCGCAGCCGCGGUAAUACGGAGGAUGCGAGCGUUAUCCGGAUUUAUUGGGUUUAAAGGGUGCGUAGGAGGUUACUUAAGUCAGCGGUCAAAUGGCGGGGCUCAACCCCGGCCAGCCGUUGAAACUGGGGGCCUUGAGUGGGCGAGAAGAAGGCGGAAUGCGUGGUGUAGCGGUGAAAUGCAUAGAUAUCACGCAGAACCCCGAUUGCGAAGGCAGCCUUCCGGCGCCCUACUGACGCUGAGGCACGAAAGUGCGGGGAUCGAACAGG